GGCGGUGUUGAUCUGGAAAAUUCCAGAGGCCAAAGCUUGAGUGGCGUCUUGCUUCCCGUUGACAUUGCUCCGACGAGGACCCGAUGAUCGACCGGAAUCUAGAUCUUGAAAGCUCAUUUCUUCGAAUUUUGAUCAAAAUUCAGAAAUCCAAAACCUAAAUUCGGCGAAAAUGGAACAAGAAAUUGGAGAAGAGAGAUUGGAUUCGUGCAACACGUUUAAAUGCUUCUUCUUU
rnacentral:misc_RNA from 1 species